UCCCUGGUGGCCUAGUGGUUAAGGAUCUGGCAUUGUCACUGCUGUGUUGCAGGUUCAAUCCCUGGCCCAGGAA
rnacentral:tRNA from 1 species